rnacentral:lncRNA from 1 species
GGUGCUAUGUUUGAGAGUCGGCGGUCACUGCUGCAUGCGACUGUGGGGUCAUUGGUGACCCCUUGUCCUUCGAAUCUGAGUGCAAAAUAUCUAAUACAAAGAAUGUUAUAUUAGUUAACAAAUGAUAAAAUAACAUAAAUGAGAAUAUAUAAAGUGUUAGAGCUGACCGUCCGGUGUGAGAGGUGCAGAACCAUAUGAGCUAGCCGCGUGAUCGCUCUCUCCUCAAGAGCUCUAUCCUCGA